GGCGGGCCCCGCGCCGCUAUGGCCGCGUCCCCCGCCCGGCGGCGCCGCUGGGAGCGGGAGCAGGCCCGGCUGAGGGCCGGCGUGGUGGAGGAGGACACCGAGGAGUGGCAGAAGGACCCGCAGUUCUCCGGGCUGCACAGAGUGGGAGGUGUGGAUUUAUCCUACAUCAAGGGGGACGAGAGCCGUGCCUGCGCCUCCCUGGUCGUGCUCAGCUACCCGGCUCUCGAGGUGCUGUACCAGGACUGCCGCAUGGUGCCCGUCACCGCCCCGUACGUGGCCGGCUUCUUGGCCUUCAGGGAGGUCCCUGUCCUGGUGGAAGCUGUGCAGAGGCUUCAGCAGGAGGAGCCCCAGCUCCAGCCUCAGGUGCUUCUGGUAGAUGGGAAUGGCCUGCUCCAUCCCAGAGGAUUUGGCACAGCCUGUCACCUCGGGGUCCUGACAGACCUGCCGUGCAUUGGCGUGGCCAAGAACCUCCUGCACGUGGAUGGCUUGGUUAGGGACGAGCUGCACAAGGAGCAGGUUCAUUCCCUGCAGAGGUCAGGAGAGGCAUUCCCACUGAGAGGCGCCUCGGGGAAGGUCCUGGGCAUGGUGCUGCGGAGCCACAGCAACAGCUCCAAGCCCCUGUACGUGUCCGUGGGCCACCGGGUGAGCCUGGGCACGGCCGUGCGCCUGGUCAGGGCCUGCUGCCGCUUCCGCGUCCCGGAGCCCAUCCGGCAGAGAGAUGAAAAAUCCAACAGGAGAGUGUGUUUACUCUAGAGAGAUGGCAGGAGACGAGGACACUUAAACCUUUCCAUGGGACUUGUCCCCACUGUGCUUCCUCUGUGUGGUGGCUGCCACAGCUCCUGGCACAGGCAGAGCUGAAAGCCUCAGCUCCUGAGCACCUGCAGCUGGAGUUAGGAAGUAGGAGGCUGUGGAGAAUCCUGCCAUGGAUGACUGACGUGGCCUUUUUGCCAUGGCUGACAUCAGGUCCAGGGAGUACCUUCGGAAGCAGCCCUGCGCUCCAGUGGAGGUGCUGGAGGCUGUGCCUGCCAGCCCAGAGAGCAAAAAGGAGGAUGAAUUGGAGGAUUAGUCUGUACCAGAAGAAAGUGCAGAGCUUCUCUUUGCUGGGUUCUCUCCUGCACCAAGGCUGAGUCCUGCUGGAUGCAGGAGCCCAGUGCCACCCUGGGGGACAGCUGUGCCAGGCUGUGUCCCACAGGACAGCGCCAGCCACUGCUCAGGGAGAAUCCAUGCAGUGAAUUUCUCAGGGUUCAUUUUCAAGUACUGUUAAAAUCUUUGUGUAAGCAAAGGCUCACGUGUAAGUUUGCAACACCUCACUGGAGUCCUUGUGCAGCUGCAGGGGCUGAUUUACAGAGAUGCUGAGACAUUGCCACUGCAGAGCCAGCCUGUGUCUCCCACCACACCUCUGUGGCACAGAGCCCUCCCUUCCCACUGCUUUUGGAGCAGCUUCCCCUUGUUCCUGCAGCCUGGGUUGUGCCAUGCCCCAUGCACGUCCCUGGGGAGCAGCAGCCCCACUGCCCAGCUCUUCUGGAGGAAGGAACAUCUCAGGGGAAAGGAUGGCAGGAAUCAUCUCUCUCCCAGGAGCAUGGGGAGGUCAUUCCUGACACACAGAGUGCUCCAGGAUCCCAGGCUGGAGAUCUGGCCCAGCCCCAGCUCGGCCUGAGGAGCAGAGCCCAGAGCCUCUGUGCCCAAAUCAUCCUCAACCCUCAUCCAGCCUCUAAGACCAAAACUUCUCCAAGGUGUGGGAUCCUGGCUGAGGUUGGCAGGUGAUUCCUGACUGUUCUGAAGAGCAGCAGGAGCAGAAGGUCCUCUGGGAGAUCCUGGUGUGGCUGUGUAAGAUUCCAGCCUGAAGAGGAAGAAGGAUGUUUUCCUGGGGGUGGGGAGGGGUGCUCAGGUCAGACUGCUGUGGGCUUUUUAACUUAAAUUUUGCAUACAUUUGUUGUACAACUUUUGUUCUUUUCUGUCUUGGAGCUCCUCUGGGUGGGGAGGACAAAGCCCAGCCUGUUGUGCCGCUGCUGUGCUGGGGUCUGAACCAGGGGGGGAAGGGAGGAAGUGACAAACCCUGCUCCCUUGGGGCCAUCUGGGCAGGUCUGGGGCUGGUCCUGGCAGUGCUGGGGACAGGCACUGGCAGAGCACUUCCCUGAAAAGCCUUUGCUGACAGGUUUUAGAAGCCAAAGCUGCAGCAGCUGCAGCUCCCAGCCCUACACAGGAGCCACCUCUCCCGGGAACCCUCAGAGCUGCUUCACACCAGGGUUUGCCCACGGGUGGACAGAGCCUGCAAGGGAAAACCACAGUGGAAGCUGCUCCUUUGAUCCUGAGGGCUGCUGCCAGGCCAGGGCAAAGGGAGCACUGGGCUCAUGGCUGGCUGUGGCAGGGGACAGGGGACACAGGGACAGAUGUGUCCCCUCCCGGCACAGACACAGUCUCUGCCACGGCCUGUCCCAUCCUGAGGGAGCAGGGUGGGCACAGAGCCACAGCCAGCAGGGACCACUUCAUUCCUCAUUCCAGCCCCACACAAACCAGUGAGUUCUCUGGCCAUGGGGACAGUCUUCUGAAACCUGUCACUAAUUCAGGCACGAGUGACAGGGUGGGCAGGGGACAGCUCCUUGCUAGAGCUCGUGAGCAGAACACCAGGGAAAUCCAUCUUUGUUUCUGAUUUGGCCUGUGCUGGGAGCUCACAGGGUCAUCCCUGGCUCCUUCCAAAUUCUGGGUAACAGCACACUCCCUGCAGAUUCACCCCAGUGUGCUCAGCUGUGGGGAGCAGCUCCUCCAGGAUGGCCCUGCAGAACAGGGGAACCUUCAGUGUGUGGGACUGGCUUCUCCUGCCCUGGUGAGUGCCUGCCUUUCAUCUCAUGUUUAACCUCUGUGGUUUUAAUCCCUCAUCUAUCGGUCACUUUCUGUGUGCUUCUGGUUGGUAUUUGACAAUGGGAGAUUUGGGGUGGGUUGGUCAGGGGAGGCUCUGCAGCCACAGCUGUGAUUUGAGUGGAAGCUCAAGGAACUGAGCCCAGCUCAGACAGGAACAUGAGGCUCUGGUUGUUCAGGGUCUGUCCCUGGCUGCUCCUGCUGGGAUCUGGGUGUUUUGAUCCACGGAGGGUCCGUGUGCUCAGCCUGUGAGGGAUCCAGGGCUGGGGACACUGCAGGGGACACUGCUGUCCUCAGCUGCCCUGAGCCCCCCCCAGCUGCCUCUGCCCUGGGAGUGAGGGAAAAUCAGGUGAAAAAAAAAAAAAAAAACACCAUAAAAACCAGCUCUGCAUCACUGUCCUGGCUUCCCUCUGCGUGAGGCUCUGAACUCCUCUCCUUCCAAGCCCAGGUAAACUCAGCUGACUCUGGAUGGAGUCACCUGGGAGGCUUUGGGAGGGGAUGGUGCUGCAGUGUCCUGGCAGCCCUGCAGGGCCAGGGGCUCUGGCUGUGCCUUUGGGCUUUGCCUGGGCCGUGGGAUGCUCUCCCAGCUGCCCAAAUGUGGCAGUUUAGUCCUUCCUAAAGGAAGGGACUAAUCUCUGUGUUUGGUGUCUGCUUGUGGCUCUUUGGACACAAUAAGGGAUUAACUUGGUCUUUAUCUAAUUGGUUUAUAACCCUGGGAAGGGAAAAUCGCUUUGUAAUGCUUGAAACCUCUUAAGAGAAACUCAGAGAGUGGAGCUUGAGUGUCCUUCGAAAUAAACUCAUACAUGGCUUGUC